CACGGCGCGGCCCGCGGCGGCCCGGGUGCGGGGGGCUCGGCCACCCCGGGGGCGCAGCGUCUGUGCCGCCUCUCCGUGUGGAUCUGGCAGUCGGUCAUCCACCUGCUGCAGAUGGGGCAGGUGUGGAGCUCUAAGCAAAAGGCAUGAGGCCUCAGCUGAAAUGAGGUGGCUUUGAGGUCAUCCGAUUUCUAGACGUGUGCGGUCACCUGGUCCUGAAAGUCCUCUACACAGCAUGGUUUGCAAUUUUUUUUGGUGAUGGCAUGUUCAGAAUCUUGGAUCCCUAAGUUGAAUGUUGGAAAUAUGUAGGAGCCUUGGAAAUGAUGUUGUUUUCCUAUUUUCAUGUUUUGGUGGGUGAAUCAGUAGAUUAAUAAAUGCAUGUGAAGGAACUCUGUACCUGUCAGCUGACAGGGGUGUCUCAGGGUUGUCGCCUGUCACCUCUCGUGUUCUGGGCAGUGUGGGUUUCCUCCCGUCAUGCUUUGGUUAGAGCGUUUUCUUUCCCGAGUGCCCGGCAACGCAAGCUGCUUAGAUCACAGGGAUUAUUGAUCAGGAGUUAAGAAGAGAAGAAAAAACAGUAAGUGACAGAUGAAAUUCAGUAAUUACAGCAUUUCGACCUGGAGCAUCUCACAAGGUCUGGAUUAGAAUAUGUAGAUUUCUUUUUCUCAAAUAUAUGUGUGGCCAAAUGCUGCCAGUUUUCCAAACUAGGCAUUCUUGUAGAUCAGAGGUGCUGACAUGGAGGGAAGAAGGCUGUUCGCUUUCACUUUCCCUCCCUCCCUCUUGUCAGGUGGGUGAGUUAGUGGGAAGGGGUUGGUGGUCUGGAUAAGGGAGAGGGAGAAAAGGCCUCAGUUUCCUGGAAGGAUUAAUUUCCCUAAACAACAACAAGAAUCAGCAGAGGCUGGCUCCCUUCCAAGUGUGGGCUGCUCUCAUGUAGAAUGUGGGUGGGGAGUAGUCAACCACCGACAGGCGGAUGCGUGGUAUCGAGUGCAGAUUACAGGGGCUGUAGUUAUUGGUGGUCCGUUGUCUGUGCCUGCCUCCUCUGCACCUCCUCCAAUUCAGAGACUUGAGGAUGCUUAGUUACUUCAGUAACUAACUCAGGGGCUUAGUUACUCAGUGGUCAGUAUGAAUGUGUCCCUACUCUUUACACCCUCACUGAGGAAUAGCAAUUGUAAAGACCACAGUUAGAACAACUUGGAAGGACGAAGAACACGCAGGAAACCGCAGAGACUGAAUGGUAGCUCAGGAGAGUUGAUGGCGAGUUUUAUUACUGGUGAGUUGUCCAUUGUUCCUGGAGUCCUUACAUGCUUGCAGCCACAGUUACCCUCAGAUUUCUGUUAGGGGGGGUUUUCCGAAACUGAAGGGCUGUACUACUGCCAGUGACCCCCUUCUAAUCAAAGUUAAUUACAUCAUUCCCCACUUCUUCCCGCCAGCCUUUCCCUCCCUUUUCAGUAGGAUGAAUUAGAUGAUACUUAUUUAGUAGAAAGCACACUGGAAAAUACUGGUAGACUGUUUUUGUUAUAUACCAAUCUCUGCAUGUGUUGUCUGUUUAGCUGCUUUCUGAUUACAACUGCCUUUUAAAAUCUCCUUCUGUGGCCCUUCUCUCAAUAGAGGUUUCCUUUUAGCUAGUUCUAGCCACAGUAUCGAUUGGGCCUGGGUAUCUAAUAUACCCAGAAGGAAUUAGCCAGCCAGGAAAAACUUUGUCCCCACCAGAAUAAAUAUUUUAAAGACCUUCUUAGAUUCUGAAAACCAUGAGUCCAAAGGAAAGAGACUUAAAGAGAAAACCUUCUGAGCCUGAUGGUACAGAGUGAGGGUGAGCUACACACUGAACUGCACAGAGUGGAUCUCAGGGAACAGAGUGCAUCCUAGAGGGGAAGAGAAUGCUGGGAUGUCUUGGACAGCAGGCAUUCCGUGUUGUCAUGGGUAGCUUUCAUGAGCAUGCCAUCAUAUUUAAGAACAGUGAGGCCAGUAUUUUGGAAAGAUCGAUUUUAAUGGUGAGUUUGAAUUAUUCGGCAUGUUCUAAAUGUGUUUGUGGCUAAAUGGUUAAUUUAAUUUCAGAUAAAUACCUUAAAUACUAGAGAAAAUACAUCAUCAAUAAAAAUUAUUUUGUUCCUGUUGUAUAACUUUACAAAAUAAUAGAGUAUCAUGUAUAGUGAGGAACUGAGGCCAUGGAUAUGGUCAUGAUGGCCACCUCCCAGAAGCUUCUGGAUAAAACUUUAAGACUGUAUUCAACUUUGUUUUACUUGUAGUACUGAUUAGAGAGCAUUUUAGUGUGUCUCUUGGGAAGUCUGUCCCUUCCUGGGUCACUGCUUCACAGCCUUGGUACAUCGCAUUCCAAAGAGUAACAGAUCUGUUUGAGUUACGCCUACUAACAGAGACGCGGAGAAGGUGAGUGGAGCAGCAGCCUGCUGUGUCGGCAAAGUUGUAGAGAAACUCCAUGUGGAGAUCUGCUGGAAGCUGGGCCUCCAUCACCAGCACAACCACAGACAGAGCAUCUCUGUGCAGUUUCUGCACAGGUAGGGACAUUGGUGUGUGAGGAUGUCCUGAUCUAUGGGAUCCUCGUCACUCGCUCUGACUUUGAUCUCCCACACCGGUUCUCUGCUUCCGAAGGCGGGACCUGCAGGCUCGAAGGCCGCCCACUGCCUCUUCACCCAGAGCCCUGCAGCCACAAGGUGGAAGCCUCCCAGAGAAAGGGCGCAGAUCCUGCAAAAGCCACUUCCAAGGACAAGUGGAGCCUGAGGCAUUGGACAUGGCGGUGUCUUCUGUUGAUGGUGUUUCAUAAGAACUUGCAUAGUAAUGCCUUUGAACAUGCGCAAACUUUCCCCCCUGAAUUACUGUAAAGGUUUUCUCAAGUGUGACCUUUUAUUGUGUCAGGAUAUUAAGUUCUUGGUGUCAGAUACUUCUUAAAUUAUGUAAUAGUGACUGGAGAUUUGGCACUCUGUUGUGACUUGGAAACUUGAAGCACAUUUUCAGGAAAAUUGUCAAUAUUCCCAGUUGACUGGCUUUCAUUCCUUUCAGCUUUUCUGGUGUGUGGUCCUUUCUGAGUUUGUCAGCUGGGAGGAAGGACCCUCCGCUCUGAGUUCCCACUUGGUGGCUGCCCCUGGCUUGUACCACUCCAGAUCUGAUUUGUCAGAAAGUCCAUUUGGACAGCCUUCCUUUCUCCAUGGUGCAGUCUCAGGUCACCUCCUUGUUCUGUCAGUUGUGGGAAAUUUCUUGCACAGCACAGCUUCAUUCUGAAGGUGGAAUCAAGAGACUUGAAGAAACACUGCCCCUGGAGAAAAGUGCACAGAAGAGUGCCAUCAGGGUGACACCAGCAGAGCGUCCUGGGUGGCCUGCUCUUUGUAUCUGAGAUAAAUUUGACUGUCAUUUACAAACUGGAUGUACAGACAUAAAAUAAUCUCAUAAGAUGUAUCAUUAAUGUCAGCAAAAUGCACCUGUCACCUCUGAGGCAUUUCUCUGUGUGUGGUCUAGAGUUGAUGAUCCAUUCUGCUGCAAAGGCUCCAGGUCAGUUAACCUGACUGAAAGAUAUCAUUUACUCAGCAUCUGAGCUGUUUUUUAUGUCUCCUUUGAGAGUUUGCUACUUUGGACUUUUAUGGUUUCACAUCCACAAGAAGAGGGUCCUGGAAGGAGAGCCUGAGUUGAUUCCUGCCUCAAAUAUAUGCUUUCUGUGGUGACAAUAAAAACGUUGAAUACACGGUCUCAAGGGUCUGUGGAAAUUCAGCUGCAUCUCUCCUGCUCAUCCUUCCUAGGCAGUUCCAUCCUGGUUCCUUCUGCCUCUUCAAAAUGGUGCUGUUUGGCUCCCCAGUCCUGAGUCCAGAUAGAAGUAUCGACACACAGUUCAACCCUCUUUCCCAUUGUCAGGUUGCAUUCUGCUAAGAACAGGAGCUUCGCAUCAUCCUUCUGACUUAUUCCUGACGCAUUUCCGUCUUCCUUCCUGAAGAGAAACAGCACUUCUAGACAGUAGGGACUUUGGCUGUCUGAGGGAUGCCUCUAAAAAGUUCGCAGAACUGUAUUCUAAAAGUGGCCUCUCAGUGUGCUGGUCACUGCUGGUGUGGCUUCCAAGGAAAACUUUUCCAACUGCCAUGCUAUGAAGCCUAAAGGACCCUGGCCUGCCUCAGGCAUGGGAAGACCCAGAGCUGACUUAUGGGCAUGGAAGCUUGCUGGGACUUGAAGAGAAAUACUCCUGUGUUUAAAAAGAAAAAAAAAAAAAAUCACACAGAGAGAGUAUCUAUGUCAGGAAGAUUUGUCAAGACCAUAGGCUAGCUUCUUAGGCCCACAUGAACCCGCACUGAACCUAUAUUGACUACCCAGGUGUGUCUUUGUAAGCCAUUAUGUAAUCCUUGGAAAACUACACUAACAUUAAAAAAAAUAAGAUUUUAUACAUCCCAGAAACAAUACAGAUGUGAUUUGUGAACAGGCUGUACUGCUUGUAAUAAAUUUCUGAUUAUUGCUUAAUAAAAAUGAAAUGAUUUGAUUAUCUAAAACCCAACACUUUGAAAUUAUUUGUGGGGGUGGUAAGUGUAUGGUUGUUUUUACUUUUCCUGUAAUAUAUGCAUAUUUUCUGCAGCUGCUGCUAUAAAUCCUGUGGUCAGGUCACAUGUUUUCUUCAGAGUCUCUAAGCUCUUGGCUGUAGUCACUAAGUGCUUAGGGUACUAGAAGUGUAUCUCAAGGUUUUCUGUGUACAUGGCAAACUUUGUCCAAGUAAAGUAGCUGUGUACUCUGAAAGAGAUUUUUAAUAAGUAAGGGUGAGUGUGGCAUGUGGUUCAGAGGGUAGGGAAAGACCCUCUGUCUGGAAUGAGCAGUGGAUAAGCUGUGCGCUGCUUGGCUAAAGCCAGUCAGAGGGGCUUAUGGGUACCAGAGCUCCUGCAUGACCACAGGGGUCCUACCUGCAGCAGAAUACAGGGAGUAGAAACACAAGGACACGCAAACACUUAGACAGUUAAAAAUAAAAGUUUUGAAUUUGAGUGUUAGUCCCAGCAUUUAAAAGGCUGAGGCUGUAGGAUUGGCCUGUGGCAAGGACAGUCAGGGCUGUAGAGUGAAUUCCAGGACAAGGGCUCUUAAAAACAAAAAACAAAUUUUAUGCCGCUCUCUGCUGUAUAUCAGGUUCAUAAAAUGAAAAGUUUAUGCUGUUGAGUCCUCUUAAAGACAGUUAUACAAUUUCUCAUUGGUUUUUGAAGUCAAAAUCCUGGGAGGCACCAUGUCUUAGGAGUAUAGGU